rnacentral:rRNA from 1 species
CACUGUCACUCCUACGGGGAGGCAGCAGUGGGGGAAUAUUGCACAAUGGGCGCAAGCCUGAUGCAGCCAUGCCGCGUGUGUGAAGAAGGACCUUCGGGUUGUAAAGCACUUUCAGUCGUGAGGAAGGUGGUAGUGUUAAUAGCACUAUCAUUUGACGUUAGCGACAGAAGAAAGCACCGGCUAACUCCGUGCCAGCAGCCGCGGUAAUACGGAGGGUGCGAGCGUUAAUCGGAAUUACUGGGCGUAAAGCGCAUGCAGGUGGUUUGUUAAGUCAGAUGUGAAAGACCCGGGGCUCAACCUCGGAAUAGCAUUUGAAACUAGGCAGACUAGAGUACUGUAGAGGGGGGUAGGAAUUUCAGGUGUAGCGGUGAAAUGCGUAGAGAUCUGAAGGAAUACCGGUGGCGAAGGCGGCCCCCUCGGACAGAUACUGACACUCAGAUGCGAAAGCGUGGGGAGCAAACAGGAUUAGAUACCCUGGUAG